rnacentral:rRNA from 1 species
GACAGAGGAUGCAAGCGUUAUCCGGAAUGAUUGGGCGUAAAGCGUCUGUAGGUGGCUUUUUAAGUCCGCCGUCAAAUCCCAGGGCUCAACCCUGGACAGGCGGUGGAAACUACCAAGCUGGAGUACGGUAGGGGCAGAGGGAAUUUCCAGUGGAGCGGUGAAAUGCGUAGAUAUUGGAAAGACCACCGAUGGCGAAGGCACUCUACUGGGCCACUACUGACACUGAGAGACGAAAGCUAGGGGAGCAAAUGGG